GCAUAUUGAUAGUUGAAUUUACAACAACUGCUUUGUCAUAUUUUACACUGUAAUAGAUUUUUAUCUGCCUGCUCCAAACUCUAAAAAUAGACAUGUUUUGCUUUUGUUUUCUGUCAUUGUCUAUAUUACACUGUAAUGGAUAUUUAUCUUGUCUGAGCUCUCAGAGCUUGCAUAGCCCUUUGUCAUAUGUACUUUUAUCGAAGUAAAUUACCCAUCAUGCAUAAUAUACUCAUAACAUGGUUUGCGCUUUUCAGGUUCUGUUCUUGGAUAUAAAUGCUGACGAGCCAUCCUGCAAGGCUUAGGCAGCGUACUUGGUGGUGUCGACAAGUUAAAACUGCUCAUCGAAGCUAUGUUUUGUUUUGGACGCAUUGAGCUUUAGGUGUUAGUGAGCUAAGCUUUUGGUUACAAAUGGUGAAUGUAUGACUUUUGGUCACAUGAGGUAGAGAUAUGGAUGUUGAUGGCUUGCUUAUGCUCUGCGAGCUUCUAAAGUAUUUUGUACCUAUACGAUGUUGAAUUUGACCAGCCAUACAUUAGGCUAACUCAUAUAUCAAUGAAUCAAUAUCAAUGUUUUGUAUUCA